AACGCACCUUGCGCUCUUGGGCUAUUCCUAGGAGCAUGUUCGUUGGAGUGUCGCGUAUCUCUCAACCCCGCCUUUCGUUCUGAAAGGCCGUUCCGGGUUGGAUUUUGACGCCUGUCUUUGCGUUAGACUGCGUUGAAAUGCAACAAGCUGUACCUUUGUACUGGCGGCUUGACCCGUUGUCAUAAGCUCACACUUUCAAUGGGGACGCCAGUCGGGAUGGGCUUACCAGAAAUCGCUUCCAUACACUUUGACCUCCAAUCGAGCAGGACUACCCCCUGAACUUAA
rnacentral:misc_RNA from 1 species